UACGGGGGGGGCAAGCGUUGUUCGGAAUUACUGGGCGUAAAGGGCUCGUAGGCGGCAAACUAAGUCAGACGUGAAAUCCCUCGGCUUAACCGGGGAACUGCGUCUGAUACCGGAUGGCUUGAGGUUGGGAGAGGGAUGCGGAAUUCCAGGUGUAGCGGUGAAAUGCGUAGAUAUCUGGAGGAACACCGGUGGCGAAGGCGGCAUCCUGGACCAAUUCUGACGCUGAGGAGCGAAAGCCAGGGGAGCAAACGGG
rnacentral:rRNA from 1 species